AUUGAACGCUGGCGGCGUGCUUAACACAUGCAAGUCGAUCGGUAACGCGGGGGCAACCCUGGCGACGAGAGGCGGACGGGUGAGGAACGCUUGGGAAUCUGCCCUUCAGCGGGGGACAACCCGGGGAAACUCGGGCUAAUACCGCAUACGCUCCACGGAGGAAAGCCGGGGACCGCAAGGCCUGGCACUGAAGGAUGAGCCCAAGUCGGAUUAGCUAGUUGGCGGGGUAACGGCCCACCAAGGCGACGAUCCGUAGCUGGUCUGAGAGGACGAUCAGCCACACUGGGACUGAGACACGGCCCAGACUCCUACGGGAGGCAGCAGUGGGGAAUAUUGGACAAUGGGGGAAACCCUGAUCCAGCGACGCCGCGUGGGUGAAGAAGGCCUGCGGGUUGUAAAGCCCUUUCGGUAGGGACGAAAGCUCUCGACCUAACACGUCGGGAGGUUGACUUAACCUACAAAGAAGCACCGGCUAACUCUGUG
rnacentral:rRNA from 1 species